rnacentral:siRNA from 1 species
UAGACUUAGUGAGGUGUAUCGGGC